rnacentral:rRNA from 1 species
GAGUUUGAUCGUGGCUCAGGAUGAACGCUGGCGGCGUGCUUAACACAUGCAAGUCGAACGAAGCACCUUGGACAGAUUCUUCGGAUGAAGUCUUUGGCGACUGAGUGGCGGACGGGUGAGUAACGCGUGGGUAACCUGCCUCAUACAGGGGGAUAACAGUUAGAAAUGACUGCUAAUACCGCAUAAGACCACAGUACCGCAUGGUACAGGGGUAAAAACUCCGGUGGUAUGAGAUGGACCCCGCGUCUGAUUAGCUGGUUGGUGGGUAACGGC